AGGGAGUAGUCUCUACACAAGCCAUGCUUCGGUGCACAGUCCAGACAACGUGGUUUCAAAGUGUUGGAGUGAUUUUGUUGUGUUGAUAGUGGCAGGUUUUACUUUGGAUAAUGCAAUUUUGUUACAAUCAAAAACACUGAACCUCUCGUAGUUUUAACUUCGAACAAGGAUUACCAGACAGGAGUUCAAUCGAGCUCAACGUGACGAAUACAACUGGCUUGUUGGGUGCAGCUGGAGACUUGGGGCUGUAGGGAAUGCGAUGUAAAGUGAGGAUGUAGCCGUCUGUAGUGGUCACUGUGUGGUUCUCCGCUGGAUAGCCAUAUUUGACGAUCAAUUCUGGCUGCGAAACAAACGCUGAAUGUUAAAAUAUUAUUGC